rnacentral:rRNA from 1 species
UCCUCCCGAGGGUUAGACUAUCUACUUCUGGAGCAACCCACUCCCAUGGUGUGACGGGCGGUGUGUACAAGGCCCGGGAACGUAUUCACCGCGUCAUUCUGAUACGCGAUUACUAGCGAUUCCGACUUCAUGGAGUCGAGUUGCAGACUCCAAUCCGGACUACGACGCACUUUAAGUGAUUCGCUUACUCUCGCGAGUUCGCAGCACUCUGUAUGCGCCAUUGUAGCACGUGUGUAGCCCUACACGUAAGGGCCAUGAUGACUUGACAUCGUCCCCACCUUCCUCCGGUUUAUCACCGGCAGUCUCCUUAGAGUUCUCAGCAUUACCUGCUAGCAACUAAGGAUAGGGGUUGCGCUCGUUGCGGGACUUAACCCAACAUCUCACAACACGAGCUGACGACAGCCAUGCAGCACCUGUAUCAGAGUUCCCGAAGGCACCAAACCAUCUCUGGUAAGUUCUCUGUAUGUCAAGUGUAGGUAAGGUUCUUCGCGUUGCAUCGAAUUAAACCACAUGCUCCACCGCUUGUGCGGGCCCCCGUCAAUUCAUUUGAGUUUUAACCUUGCGGCCGUACUCCCCAGGCGGUCUACUUAAUGCGUUAGCUUUGAAAAACAGAACCGAGGCUCCGAGCUUCUAGUAGACAUCGUUUACGGCGUGGACUACCGGGGUAUCUAAUCCCGUUUGCUCCCCACGCUUUCGUACAUGAGCGUCAGUGUUGACCCAGGUGGCUGCCUUCGCCAUCGGUAUUCCUUCAGAUCUCUACGCAUUUCACCGCUACACCUGAAAUUCUACCACCCUCUAUCACACUCUAGUUUGCCAGUUCGAAAUGCAGUUCCCAGGUUGAGCCCGGGGCUUUCACAUCUCGCUUAACAAACCGCCUGCGUACGCUUUACGCCCAGUAAUUCCGAUUAACGCUCGCACCCUCCGUAUUACCGCGGCUGCUGGCACGGAGUUAGCCGGGUGCUUCUUCUGUCAGUAACGUCACACAUGAUGGGUAUUAACC